AUGUCUGUUUCUACCAGCAGCCUCUUAAGUCAAUCUGCCAACAGUCUUCAAUUUUUUUUUUUUUUUUUUUUUUUUUAUACACACAAAAAAUUUAAAUUUUGUGCACUGGGUUACAUUAUAUUCGAUUUAAAUAAGAAGCUAGACACCACUACCCCCAAAAUCCUAUCAGACAAGUUUUCGAUGAUAAGUCAACAUGACCUACCAGCUACACAAAGAAUUCCAAGAUAAAUGCUCUGCUUCCAAUAUCCCCAGUGGCUAACUUUACAUGCCUUCUGGGUCCAGUGAAGACACUUUUGUAUAAAAGUCCAAACUAAAUAAGAGUGGUGACAUACAG
rnacentral:lncRNA from 1 species